rnacentral:rRNA from 1 species
UGCGCAGGUGGGCUUGUAAGUCAGUGGUGAAAUACUGCCGCUUAACGGUAGAACUGCCAUUGAUACUGCAAGUCUUGAAUAUGUUGAGGUAGGCGGAAUGUGUCGUGUAGCGGUGAAAUGCAUAGAUAUGACACAGAACGCCGAUUGCGAAGGCAGCUUACUAAGCCAUUAUUGACGCUGAGGCACGAAAGCGUGGGGAGCGAACAGGAUUAGAUACCCUGGUAGUCC